rnacentral:rRNA from 1 species
GUAAAGAGUUCGUAGGCGGUCAAGUAAGUCGGGUGUGAAAAUUCUGGGCUCAACCCAGAGACGCCACUCGAUACUGCUUAACUUGAGUUCGAUAGGGGAGUGGGGAAUUCCUAGUGUAGCGGUGAAAUGCGCAGAUAUUAGGAGGAACACCGGUGGCGAAGGCGCCACUCUGGAUCGAUACUGACGCUGAGGAACGAAAGCAUGGGUAGCAAACAGGAUUAGAUACCCUGGUAGUCCAUGCCGUAAACGGUGGGCACUAGGUGUGGGUUUCUAUUAACGAAAUCCGCGCCGUCGCUAACGCAUUAAGUGCCCCGCCUGGGGAGUACGGUCGCAAGACUAAAACUCAAAGGAAUUGACGGGGGCCCGCACAAGCAGCGGAGCGUGUUG